GCGGGCGUAGCUCAGUGGUAGAGUCGCAGCCUUCCAAGCUGUGUGUCGCGGGUUCAAAUCCCGUCGCCCGCUCCA
rnacentral:tRNA from 3 species